AGUGAACGCUGGCGGUAGGCCUAACACAUGCAAGUCGAACGGCAGCACAGUAAGAGCUUGCUCUUACGGGUGGCGAGUGGCGGACGGGUGAGGAAUACAUCGGAAUCUACUUUUUCGUGGGGGAUAACGUAGGGAAACUUACGCUAAUACCGCAUACGACCUACGGGUGAAAGCAGGGGAUCUUCGGACCUUGCGCGAUUGAAUGAGCCGAUGUCGGAUUAGCUAGUUGGCGGGGUAAAGGCCCACCAAGGCGACGAUCCGUAGCUGGUCUGAGAGGAUGAUCAGCCACAUUGGAACUGAGACACGGUCCAGACUCCUACGGGAGGCAGCAGUGGGGAAUAUUGGACAAUGGGCGCAAGCCUGAUCCAGCCAUACCGCGUGGGUGAAGAAGGCCUUCGGGUUGUAAAGACCUUUUGUUGGGAAAGAAAAGCAGCAGGUUAAUACCCCGCUGUUCUGACGGUACCCAAAGAAUAAGCACCGGCUAACUUCGUG
rnacentral:rRNA from 1 species